UGAUUUAUGUUUUCGAGUAGUUGAUGCAUCAUUUCGCGGCAAUCUUUCAAAACCGACAAGUGAAAAGUUGUAUUUAAAAUUUUGUGAAUAAGUGAAAAGUAUUGUGUUAAAAUCUCUUAUCUUUUUGAGGAUAUGUCAUAGGAAAAGAUAGUCUGUGAUUUUGGAAGACAAAAUUUGUUUCUUCGGACUGUUGCAUAAAAUCGAGCACGCGUCUCCCUCUACCGAAGGAGAGCCAGCGACUCGAUAUUGUUCGUCGAAGUUAUUGCGAUCGUGUUCGAGUUCCAUCGAAAGGCUCAAUCUCACUGGAACGUGUCAUACGAGCGGCGAACUCGAAUUUCAACCAGCAGUCACCAGGUAUCGAAACUGAACAUCGGAAUUGAACAUAGAAUUUGUACAUUUCAACAAAAUGGCAAGCGAGACUUCUUUUACCGCUUUAUUGGACGAUUCGUUUUCGGAUAAUGACAAAAGUACCGAGGAUUAUUCGUCCAAUUUAAAAGACGCUUUGGAGAACCUGACCGAGAGGUACGACACGGAGUUGCUGCAACAGGCUCUGCAACGAUCCUUAUCCUCGUGUUCGGAUAAUUUGCUCGCUGAGAAAAUUUUCAACGAAAUACUUCCUUUCGCCUAUUAUCUUUUAUCCGAGGCUCUGAAGAAAAUUGGCGAAACGAUAAAUACAAACGCGGAUGGACACACGGUGGAAGAUGCGAAACGACAAUUGGUCGUGUGUCGCGAAUUACUAAGUGUGUGGGAGAAAUCUAUGGAACGCGUUUCGAAACUUUGUAAAACAUCUGCCAUUGGUUUUAAAUGCAUAGUGGAGAACGUGCCUCUUACGAUUAAACUAAUAUUCGAACAUUGUAGAGCAAGUAAAAAAUUGUACGCUACUUUAUUCGAGGACGUAUCGGAGGAAUUAACGAAUCUAUUUCGCAAGGCGAAAACGAUCUUGAAUCUAUUCCUGGCCACUUUAGAGAACGUAAUAGUCUUCGACACGGAUACGGAAUCGGAAACGGAACUAUUGGUAAAAGUAAUCGAUUCGAUCGGAUCGUUCGUUACCAUCUCGCGCGAACUGGAUUUGAAAACGUUCGUGGAAACGUCGAAAAUAUUCGGUAAAUUGGCGAUUACGAAUCAACAUCAUAUAAAACGAAUAAACGCUAUGAACGUCACUUUGCAGCUUGCCCAAUUCACAAAAGAUGUGUCCUCGAUGCUCGUAUUUUGUCAGGACUCGAGUAAUCGGGUAGAAGAAAGAACGAUAAAAGUUAUUGGACAUUCGUUAAAAAUUUUGGACAGACUGUUUGCAGCCUAUUGUUCGCACAUAAACAACGAGAUUCUUCCGUUUGUGAUCGAACUUUUGUUAAAGAUGCACAGGUGUUCUCCACUGUGUUUACAAAACUCGCAAAUUGAUAGAAAACUGAUCGAUCUAAUAAACGUUCAAAUCUCGAAGGGAUCCGAACCAUUUUUGAAUACCGUUUUCAAAUCAUCCGAUUUUAAACAGGCGUUCUUCGAUUAUAGAAAUCAGGCAAAUAUCGAUAAUUUAGGCUACCAUCUGUUAACGGUUAAUAUCAUGAAAAAAUUAAUUUACAUGCCAUACGAGCAACAUCGCAAAUGGACAUUAGGCGCUGAAUCGAUCGUCGAUGUCGCGUUAAGCAACAUUAAUCACCUGCAGGAGGAGAUUUGCGUGGGUCAGGUGAAAUUACCAGGUGUACACGAUAUUGGAGAAAGAUCGAGAUCCGCCUCGAUAUACGAAGCCACGAUAGUACCAAUUUGUGGACUGAUCAGUCAAAUUCAUGCAGACGGAUUUCACGCUGUAGAGUUGAUUUUAUUGAAGCAUUUAUUCAGCGAUCAACUUUGGAGUUCUUUGCUUAGUUCGGAUAUCUGGUGCUUCAUCGGCCGUAUUGGUUCUCCAGAACUUUGCGCUAGUCACGUGAAAUACCUCUUGAACGUUUAUGCUGUUUUAAUGAGACGUAGCAACAGUCUCGAGAUCGUUAUGUUGGAGAACUUGAUUGGAAGAUUGUACAAUUUGCUCCCGGAGGAAACGAAGCACACCGUUAUAACGGAGCUGGAUGAUCUGAAAAAUCCAUGCUGGCUGGCCGUCGCACGAUUUUUGCCCCCGAAAACAAAAGCGUUCUUGCAGGAUCGAUUGGCAUGCGUAUUAAACGAGAUACCGAGCUCGUUCGUUGAAUUACAGCAGCAGCCUACUGUACAGAAUUGGAAUCGUAUCACGAUGCUGAUGUCGUUUAUCGGAAAACUCAACUACACGGAGGAGAAAAAUACCAUCAAUAUCCUGUCGCAAAUAUGGAACUGGAUCGCAAGCACGAUCGAAAUUUUCGAAGGCAAACAGUUGGAUAUGUUAUCGGAAUUUACGUCGAAACUGUUGAGUGCUACGCAGCCUGAAAAAAUUCAAGACGAUAUUUUCUUCUCGAUCCUAGAAGCAGUUUUAGCGUCACUGUUAUGUCUCCCACCACACGUAAAGGCAAUAACGUCGUAUUACUUGAGAAACAGAAUCGAUUCCUUUGAUAACUGUGGGAUUAAAACGGUUAAUGCAUUAGCGGAGCUCAAUUGUCGACUUUUGGAAGACGAAAAUCCAUGGGUACGACAGGAAGCUUUCGAAUCGUUUGAUUAUGUAGCUCACAUGUGUCCGAACGAGGAUCUUGUGACUAAAAUGGCAGCCGCGGUUACAAGAAAGUCGUCGUUGAGAGAUUCUUUGCCUGCUUAUCUUUCCGGCACGAUUUAUUACGAGCUUCAGGAUUUUUCGGAUAUUCGAGAUUAUUUGCAACAUAUGGCGAAACAUUCGCAAAAUGUUUACCAUGUUUGUAACAAUUACGAGGAUUGUCAAAGGGACCAAAAACUCGCUAAAUUGGAAAUCGAGUCUAUCGAAAGUUUCGAUAAAAACUCGCCUUUCAAUCACUUCGAUGAACACGUAAACGAAAUAUGUGACGAAUUGAAUGAUAUUUUAAAAAAGACUGGUGACAUCGGAAAUCACGUGAUGCGAAGACUACGGUUAAUUUGCAUGAAGAUUUUGGAUCUGACUGAAUCCAAAUAAGUCUUAUUCGAAUACAUUUUGUAUAAUAAUUUGUAAUUUUUUAUGUCGUAAGGAUAAGCGCGCGAAAUGAUCGAACAAAUAAUAUAAAUACUCUUUUUAUUUUCAUUAAGAAUCCUUGAUAAUCGUGCAAAGAAUAAGAACAAUUUAAAUAAAUCUUCUUAAUAAUACCUAUAUUGUAGAAAAAUUAGGCCUAAGAUCGUUUUAUUUCUUUUAGCCCUUUGCGAACGGGGCCGCUCGACGAGCGAUCAUCGCUGUGGACGAGAGGUAUUGGCGCGCGCAGUUGAAAAAAUAUACACGUUGAACGUUUGCGUUAUUCAUUAUCGAGAUUUGUAUCAUUUUCAUCAAUAUUUAGUUCAUCAUCAUUGUCACUAUUACUAAAAAUAUUGAAACGUUUGAGCCGAUUCAUUGUUGAACGGAUUUCGUUUCUACUUUCUGAAGCACUGUCCGCCGUCUUUUAUCUUGUCAGGUUCAAAAUAAUGCUUGUCAUCGCUACUAUCACUAUCGAACAUAUUUUUUUCUGGAACUUUUAGGCAUCGUGUAUAAGGUAUUAUAAAGAAUAUGUAAAAUAUAUAAAAAGCUUACUGAUUCAUCUGGUAAUGCCAUUGAAAGAUUAAAAUUCGUUCUGACUCAACCAUCAUCUGACAUCUGAAAAUAAGAUUUCUAAAGAUCUAUAAUUUUCUUUCAUCAAAAACAUAAUACUGUUUAGUUUACUAUACCCACGCGUAAAUACGCAUAAGAUUAUCGCUUAGAAAAUAGUAACUGUCCAGAACAGAUUCGGUCGGCUAUAUGCCGUCCGCAUACACGCGUCCGCAACGGUGAAAAGACUUGGACGGCUAUUUGUCGACACUCGUUCGCAAAAGGUUAAAUUUUAUUAUAUAUUAACCACUUGCGCUACCAAUAAACUCAUGGUUGCGUAUGCCGUACGCUACAAUAUAACACGUUGAGAUAACAAAGUAACCCGUCACCGCGUCUGCGAGUGCAAUCUUUUAAGCAGCGCCUCAGUGUGUUGGUAAGGUCUUAUAUGUAGAGUUUUACACGGGUAUAAAUAAAUACUCACGGGAACGAUA